ensembl:lncRNA
AUGUGCCACAGAUCUCUAGAUGCGCUUACAAUCGCAUUCAUCACAACAAGCCCAUUAUCUCCAUCAUUAGUGAUCGCUGUGUGUGUGGCAAAACGAGGAGAGAGAGAUCACGGAGAACUACGCCGAGGAGCAGAGGGACCUCAGAUUUCAUCUCGUUCUCUGAGUGAGACGACUGCAAUGGAGACUGUGUGCUGUCCUUCAGUCCGCGGCGGUGACAGUGGCUUGAUCCGCAGCACUCUGAACUCAUCAUCUUGUCGCUGUAGAGCUGGAUCGGUUGAAGGGUUUGACUGUGUGAGGAAACGCAUGUAAUGAUCAUCGUCUGAUUUCAUAGUUCUUGAGAAACUUCCAGCUGUAGUUUGAGAGCAAACACAGCGGAGUCGUGAGUUGCAUGACACUUUCUUAUGUGUAGAACAAUUAAAUAUACAUGCAAAUACUAAAGUGUUACCAUGACUUUAUAUGGAGUACUAGAUUAAAAAAUUAAAAUUAAAAAAACCUGAUUGAUUAACUAAAACCCCGAGUACAUGAUGGGAAGGGCUCUUCAGGAGACAGCUGAAGCUGACUGAUCUGAGACCUCAGUAAAUAUGGAGUGUAUCAGUCUUUCUUUCAGCACCAGCGUUUACUUGUUCUCUCCUCACCCGUCCCACCAAACCAGCCAAUGGCAAUCACUAAUUACGAUCGGGAUGCUUUCAAUUAUCUAGAAGGAGUGGUGACAAAUCGCAGACUCCGUGUCGUCUUCCUAUUACACGCCUGCUCUGAAAUGUCCUGCUGAUGACCUUCUAAAUAAAGAAGAGAGCGAGACGAGUAAAGAGACACCUUCCACUGAGCUCAGCCCGUCCUGGGGCAAAGCCGGCUCACUCAUCAACACUUCAGCAUUAAUUGUCUGUGUUUUUCUUUCUCGCUUUCUCUCUCAAAGCCGCCUGACUUGAAGCAUUCCUCAGGAGGAGCAGUGAAACUCUCUCUGGAAGUGAGAAUAAUAGAAAUCAUUUGUUCAGCUGCUGUUGGGAG